rnacentral:rRNA from 1 species
UACGUAGGGUGCGAGCGUUGUCCGGAAUUAUUGGGCGUAAAGGGCUCGUAGGCGGUCUGUUGCGUCAGGAGUGAAAACUCGGGGCUUAACCCCGAGCCUGCUUCUGAUACGGGCAGACUAGAGGUAUGCAGGGGGAGAACGGAAUCCCUGGUGUAGCGGUGAAAUGCGCAGAUAUCAGGAGGAACACCGGUGGCGAAGGCGGUUCUCUGGGCAUUACCUGACGCUGAGGAGCGAAAGUGUGGGGGAGCGAACAGG